GCGGGGGUUGUGUAAUGGUAAGACCCUAGCCUUCCAAGCUAGAGACACGGGUUCGAUUCCCGUCACCCGCUCCA
rnacentral:tRNA from 1 species